AUACGGGAGGCAGCAGUGGGGAAUCUUGCGCAAUGGACGAAAGUCUGACGCAGCCAUGCCGCGUGAAUGAUGAAGGUCUUAGGAUUGUAAAGUUCUUUAGCCUGUGACGAUGAUGACGGUAACAGGAGAAUAAGCCCCGGCUAACUUCGUGCCAGCAGCCGCGGUAAUACGAAGGGGGCUAGCGUUGUUCGGAAUUACUGGGCGUAAAGCGCGCGUAGGCGGUUUUACAAGCCAGAGGUGAAAUGCCUGAGCUCAACUUAGGAAUUGCCUUUGGAACUGUAUGGCUUUGAGGACGAGAGAGGUGAGUGGAAUUCCCAGUGUAGAGGUGAAAUUCGUAGAUAUUGGGAAGAACACCGGUGGCGAAGGCGGCUCACUGGCUCGUUACUGACGCUGUAGCGCGAAAGCGUGGGGAUCAAACAGGAUUAGAUACCCUGGU
rnacentral:rRNA from 1 species